GGUUAAGUGGAGUAUAUUAUACAAGAUUAAUAUAAAGUGUAAAGAAAAUCUCCAAGUCGCUCACUGAGUCACUCCAGCUCCUCUCUUCCCCACUCUAUUAUAUUGUUGUGGGUGCAUCUCAUUGGUAGUUGUGUGUAUACAUAUGUGUGAGUGUCUUAAAGUGAUAACUUGUGGCUUCACUUGAGAGAGAGCAGAAGAGAGAGUAGGAACUGAUUUGGAUCUGAAGAGGAAAAACAAGUGGUUGAAAUGGGGAUGGAUCCAAGACAACUAGUAGCAGGAGUGCUCACCGUAACAAUGUUGUAAUGCUUGGUAACAUGAUCCAUAGAGAACACUUUCGUGAUUUCUCUCCUCCUCUCAUUCAACAUCCGGAAUCCACAACCGUGCGUUUUGAAACUACUAACGCAGCUUCAGAAAACAGCCCCGAAAUUCUUACUAAGGAAAUCGAAGGCCCUUGGAAGGAGGAUGUCCUUGACCUUAAGCCCUGUUGGACGAAGCCAGUUUUGGAAGAGACAGAGCAAUCACAAGGCUUUGUGACUUUCUCCUUAACAAAUGGUCCUGAAUACCACGUCUCGCAGGUAUUCA